AUACGGAGGUUGCAAGCGUUACUCGGAAUCACUGGGCGUAAAGCGCGCGCAGGCGGCUUGAUAAGUUGGAUGUGAAAGCCUACGGCUCAACCGUAGAACUGCAUCCAAAACUGUCAGGCUAGAGUCUGGGAGGGGAAGAUGGAAUUAGUUGUGUAGGGGUAAAAUCCGUAGAGAUAACUAGGAAUACCAAAAGCGAAGGCGAUCUUCUGGAGCAGUACUGACGCUGAGGCGCGAAAGCGUGGGGAGCAAACAGGAUUAGAUACCCCAGUAGUCC
rnacentral:rRNA from 1 species